rnacentral:rRNA from 1 species
AUUGAACGCUGGCGGCAUGCUUUACACAUGCAAGUCGAACGGUAACAGGCCUUCGGGUGCUGACGAGUGGCGAACGGGCGAGUAAUGCAUCGGAACGUGCCCAGAGGUGGGGGAUAACGCAGCGAAAGCUGUGCUAAUACCGCAUGUGAUCUGAGGAUGAAAGCGGGGGACCAAGCAGCAAUGUUUGGCCUCGCGCCUCUGGAGCGGCCGAUGUCAGAUUAGGUAGUUGGUGGGGUAAAGGCCUACCAAGCCGACGAUCUGUAGCUGGUCUGAGAGGACGACCAGCCACACUGGGACUGAGACACGGCCCAGACUCCUACGGGAGGCAGCAGUGGGGAAUUUUGGACAAUGGGCGCAAGCCUGAUCCAGCAAUGCCGCGUGCGGGAAGAAGGCCUUCGGGUUGUAAACCGCUUUUGUACGGAACGAAAAGGCUCUGGCUAAUACCUGGGGCUGAUGACGGUACCGUAAGAAUAAGCACCGGCUAACUACGUG